GUGAAUCAUCAAAUUUUUGAACGCAAAUUGCACUCUCCACGGAGAGUAUGACUGUUUGAGGGUCAGCCUAUAAAAAAUCGACAUCGUUGCUGUUUCGCGGUGGUGUUAGUCGGCAAUUGGGUCAUCUUACAUCAUUUUGAUUUAAGAGACUUAAAAUUUUCUUUUGGUUUGAUGAACGUUUCUAAGAUCUAUAUUUUUAUACGUUUAAUGUAUCGAUUUUUACUAGAUGUGACCAUAAUAUCGGAU
rnacentral:misc_RNA from 1 species